rnacentral:rRNA from 1 species
AUUGAACGCUGGCGGCAGGCUUAACACAUGCAAGUCGAGCGGAGAGAGGUAGCUUGCUACUGAUCUUAGCGGCGGACGGGUGAGUAAUGCUUAGGAAUCUGCCUAUUAGUGGGGGACAACAUUUCGAAAGGAAUGCUAAUACCGCAUACGUCCUACGAGAGAAAGCAGGGGAUCUUCGGACCUUGCGCUAAUAGAUGAGCCUAAGUCGGAUUAGCUAGUUGGUGGGGUAAAGGCCUACCAAGGCGACGAUCUGUAGCGGGUCUGAGAGGAUGAUCCGCCACACUGGGACUGAGACACGGCCCAGACUCCUACGGGAGGCAGCAGUGGGGAAUAUUGGACAAUGGGCGGAAGCCUGAUCCAGCCAUGCCGCGUGUGUGAAGAAGGCCUUAUGGUUGUAAAGCACUUUAAGCGAGGAGGAGGCUACUUUAAUUAAUACCUAGAGAUAGUGGACGUUACUCGCAGAAUAAGCACCGGCUAACUCUGUGCCAGCCGCCGCGGUAAAAC